rnacentral:sRNA from 1 species
CCAGUAGCCCCGAAGUGCUGUCGGACCCCCGACCUGGCAGCACCUCGGGGCUCUUCC